GCUUUAAUUGUGCAAACCCACGUGGCUGAUGAGAAGUACAAGGCUGGCUUUUUUGCUUGUUAGAAUUCUUAAACUAGUGCUUUGCUACAGCCUUUUUCUCUGGAAAUGCCUCAUGGCUGAAAUAUGCUGUGCCUGAAAUCCCCACGUUCCAAGUCCUUCUGGAAAUAGCUUUCCUGUAUGUAGGGCUUAAUUUGUAGCCAAGAGACAAAAGGAACACCUUGAAAUCACAUCAAAUUAGAUGACAGAGGACUGAUAGGGUGUGCAAAGAAUAAGUCUAAACCUUUCAGGAGAACUAUGGCAUAAAUUCCCAAGAAAGCAAGUACAUCCUUUUGUUUUCAGGAAUUUUGCCAGUGUUCCAGUUUUCAGGUCCCCCAGAAUGCCAUUCCUGUUAGUUAUGCUUUGCUCAGUCAUCACUGGGACAGUGAUGUGAACUUUGCUUCCAAUUACUCUAAUGAGAAACAAGGGCAGAACUGCCUCAGAAAAGAUUGUCCCAGUCAAACACCCCCAUGCAAAAUUGAGGGCUUUAGGUGAUAAUGAAGACAGCAGGGUUAAGGAGAGGUGUAAUGCUUCAGGUAAACAUUUUCAAGAUAAGACCAUUUCAUUUAUAAUAAGCUGAAAACAGACCUGUUAGGUCCAAGAUGCAGAGGUAAGGUGAGUUGUUUGCUUGGCCCGAUGUCCUGGUCUGGGACUGGAUCUUGGUUUUGUGUCUGUGUGGCCCUAUCUGGCUGGUUGCCAUCCCUUGUGGGAUAGGCCUUGCAGUGAGCAUUCCCAAAGGUUCAUGAGGUCUUCAGUGCAGUCAAAAAAUCCUUUCUUGGAGCUAAUGAUUCCCCAAAGUCCCACCCUGGUCAUCUGGGGGUGACUGGCAGCUCAGCCCCUUUCAUCUUUGACUUUUUUAACCCAACUUGCAGGGUCUGGCAGAACUUUAGAUCACUUUGCUUCUCGUUUGGCAUUAGCCCACUUGAAGUAGGAAAGUUUAUGCCUGGAAGCAGUUGGUUGAGAUCUGAAAGUAGAAAAUAUUAAUUCCAGGCAUGGAGAGCUUUUAAAAGAGCAGGAAUUUCAUGGAAAUAAAACUGUGUAGUCUAUUAAGUUCCUCUCAUGGACUUUUAUGAGGACAAUUAUUAAUAUUGUUGAAAACUAUACUCAUGAAACGUGUUAAUGGGAAUUGUGCUGGCUGCUGCCAGAAAAAUCUGCAAGCUUUACAGCUCAUUUGGAGACAGAAAUAUUCAGCAAAGUAGCCUACAGGGUGCAAAGGUUCGCGUGGUGCCGGCUUAGGCCAACUUAACAUACGCCCUCUGUAGCCCUGGUAUUGUCCAAAACCUAAUGCCCAUAAUGAAAGAGAGGAAAAUUGGACCCCAAGUGGCAAGGAUUGUAAGCCCUUGGAAUUCUCCUAAUCAGAGAUAUUCAGCUAUUUUUGGUUCAUAAUGUUUAGUCAAAUAGCAACAAUGAUUUUUCUUCUUUUUUUCAACUCAGCUGCACGGUGUGUUGGAGGGGGUCUCCAUGGCCUGUGACCUUGCCUUUAUCUGUCAGUCUGUCACCACUGGUCUUCAAAGUGCAGCUUAAAGGAUCUGAGGCUUCUGUGUGGCCUUGAUGUGAUCUGCUUUCCUGGUUGCACAUGUUCUUAAGGACAGUGCCCGUGCAUAAAGGCAGAGAAGGCACAAAGCCAGCAUUUGACAGCAGAAUGGUCUUCAAGCACUGACCUGGCUUGGGCAGCAAAUGCCAGAUAUUAAGCUGUGAUGAGGCAAAAAGUAGUAAGAGGAACUUCAGACUGAAAAGCAGGACUUCUACUUUUGACUUAGAUGGGAAGCUGGGAAAAUUUUUCAGCAAAGCUUCUUCCAUGUAAAAAGGCCAUUGAAGAGCAUUCUGGCUGAAAGCAUUUCCUCCAUCUGCCAUAAGAAGGUCCUGUUCAGCCACUGGACUGAGGGGUGCAGUGAGUACAUUAGUGAGCAGCAUUAAAGGUCAGUGUCAAUUUCCUUGUUAGACACCCAGCUUUGGCUCUCCAUGUGCUCCAGCACUUGACAGUGCAGUGGCAUUCUCUGAGCUGGAAGAGCACAGUAAUCAUCUCCACAACCUUCUGCUCACACAGAAAAGUUUCCUGUGCCUCGUCAUGUUUUUCAUUCCCAGGAAGUGAGAAGAGAGAAGGAAAUGGCUGGGAACCUCCAGGAACACGCUGAUAAGGAAAAUCCCACCACCUCUGUACUUCAGAGAUGCUGCAAUCAUGUCUUCUAAAACAGUGUUAAGUAAGAACUGGGGAGAAUUAUCCACAAGACACAGAAUUCUUGUAAACUUUUGCUAUCUAGCCACGUAGGGGGACAUUUUUUCUCUUCUGUUUAACUUGCCUGUUAUUUCCUCCUUCUGGCAUUUAUUAAACAGACUGGUUAACCAUUCAGUCCCAGCCUAAAAACAGAUCUCACCACAAAUCCUGUUCUCUGUGGUGGACUCAGGAAAGGCUCUGGCUGAACAAACUCACUUCUCCUGUCUUAACUCUGAAGGGCAGAGCUAAAUGCUGGAGAUAGAUGUUCACCAUAAAAUUCACACUACAGGUUUCCUGUUUGGAGCAGCCAGUAGUGCUAGGGACACUAGAGUUUCCAUUUGUACACCAUCUCUGUUUUGACAGGGCCCUUCAUGAUUCAUCAACAAUUUGGAUGCUUCUGGCUAUGCAGUAUUCACUGCACCCACCCCAUUCCUGAUAAACAGACUCAGGAGCUCUAAUCACAGGGGUAGUACACUCAAUAACCAUUGCUCCUUAAUUGUUUAUGAUCUUUAUCUCUUUCCCUCCAAGGGUUUUUUCCUGUGGGAGGACCAGUGUUUCUCUUUGAACUGACUUUUCCUUUCAACAUUUAUCAUUCAGGACUGCUCAAGUGCUGUUUCAGUGCAGAAGCCGCUUGCAAACUAUUUGUAGCAGCUGGCUUUUUGGAAGUUUGCUGUUUGCAGUGCUUGAUCCCUCACUUAAACUAGCCAACACUGUCUUUCCAUCUGUGCACGAGACCCCUGCACCACACAGCAUGCUUCUGGGGAGCUGUAUGCAUCUGGCCUGCUGCCUCUACUUGUUUUUUCUGACCCCGGGGGAGUAUUUCAGCGUGCUGCAGGACCCCUGAGCAGUGCCUAAGGAGAGGUGAACCACAGCCAGUUGUGAUGUUUGGGUUAGGGGCUGAUACUGGCUCCAGUGGGACUGUCUGACCCCUAGGACUGGCCCUUCUGCCUGGGAGUUCUUCACAGAAAGGCUCAGAGCACUUAGAACAGGAACAUGUGUUUGGGAUAGAGGAACAAGUGAAAAAUAGCAUGAGGCAGAAAGGAAAGCUACAGAUCAUUUCCAUCAGCAGAGCUGUCGUGUCCCAUGGCUUAUGUGUGUUCUCUUGUAAUAUGGGAAUAAUUACUCUAUGGCUGUCUCCAGUUGUGUCUGAUUAUUAAAAUCAAUAAUGCAUA